rnacentral:pre_miRNA from 1 species
AGGAGGAACAGCCCCAGUGGCGGGGCCAGCUCUGGAAACCUGGAUUUAGCUCCGGCAGGAACUCCGGAGCUCUCCGUCUGCAGGGCCUGGAGGCUCCGGGGCGGG